rnacentral:piRNA from 1 species
UUAUUAUGUUGUAGUCUGUGAACU